ACGGGGUGCAGCAGGCGCGAAAACUCUACAAUGCAGGCAACUGCGAUAGGGGGACAUCGAGCGGCACCCACCUUGGGUGUCUGUCCAACCGUCUAAAAAACGGUUGUUAGCAAGGGCCGGGUAAGACCGGUGCCAGCCGCCGCGGUAAUACCGGCGGCUCGAGUGGUGGCCGAUAUUAUUGAGUCUAAAGGGUCCGUAGCCGGCUUUGCAAGUCCUCUGGGAAAUCCAGCGGCUUAACCGUUGGGCUUCCAUGGGAAACUACAUUGCUUGGGACUGGGAGAGGUAGGAGGUACUCGAGGGGUAGGGGUGAAAUCCUGUAAUCCCCUGGGGACCACCGGUGGCGAAGGCGUCCUACCAGAACAGGUCCGACGGUGAGGGACGAAAGCUAGGGGCACGAACCGGAUUAGAUACCCGGGUAGUCCUAGCCGUAAACGAUGCUCGCUAGGUGUCACAACAGUCGUGAACUGCUGUGGUGCCGUAGGGAAGCCGUGAAGCGAGCCACUUGGGAAGUACGGCCGCAAGGUUGAAACUUAAAGGAAUUGGCGGGGGAGCAC
rnacentral:rRNA from 1 species